AUUGAACGCUGGCGGCAGGCUUAACACAUGCAAGUCGAACGUGUGGCGGACGGGUGUGUAAUGCUUGGGAAUCGAGCUUAUGGAGGGGGAUAACUACGGGAAACUGUAGCUAAUACCGCGUACCAUAGGAUGAGCCUAGGUGGGAUUAGGUAGUUGGUGAGGUAAAGGCUCACCAAGCCGACGAUCUCUAGCUGGUCUGAGAGGGUGACCGGCCACACUGGGACUGAGACACGGCCCAAACUCCUACGGUAGGCAGCAGUGGGGAAUAUUGGGCAAUGGGGGCAACCUGACGCAGCCAUGCCGCGUGGAUGAAGAAGGCCUUCGGGUUGUAAAGUUCUUUCGGUAGCGAGGCGUUAACUACAGAGGAAGCGCCGGCUAACUCCGUGCCAGCAGCCGCGGUAAUUC
rnacentral:rRNA from 1 species